UUCCGGUUGAUCCUGCCGGAGGCCAUUGCUAUCGGGGUCCGAUUUAGCCAUGCUAGUCGCACGGGUUCAGACCCGUGGCAAACAGCUCAGUAACACGUGGCCAAACUACCCUAUGGACGUGGACACCCUCGGGAAACUGAGGCUAAUCCACGAUACGGCUCCCACGCUGGAACGCGGGGAGCCGGAAACGCUCCGGCGCCAUAGGAUGUGGCUGCGGUCGAUUAGGUAGACGGUGGGGUAACGGCCCACCGUGCCCAUAAUCGGUACGGGAUGUGAGAGCAAAUAGCCCGGAGAUGGUAUCUGAGACAAGAUACCAGGCCCUACGGGGCGCAGCAGGCGCGAAACCUUUACACUGCACGCCAGUGCGAUAAGGGGACCCCGAGUGCGAGGGCAUACAGUCCUCGCUUUUGUACACCGUAAGGAGGUGUACGAAUAAGGGCUGGGCAAGACCGGUGCCAGCCGCCGCGGUAAUACCGGCAGCCCGAGUGAUGGCCGCUGUUAUUGGGCCUAAAGCGUCCGUAGCCGGCCGAACAAGUCUGUCGGGAAAUCCAUCCGCCUAACGGAUGGGCGUCCGGCAGAAACUGUUCGGCUUGGGGCCGGAAGAUCCGAGGGGUACGUCUGGGGUAGGAGUGAAAUCCUGUAAUCCUGGACGGACCGCCGGUGGCGAAAGCGCCUCGGAAGGACGGACCCGACGGUGAGGGACGAAAGCUGGGGUCUCGAACCGGAUUAGAUACCCGGGUAGUCCCAGCCGUAAACGAUGAUCGCUAGGUGUGGCACAGGCUACGAGCCUGCGCUGUGCCGUAGGGAAGCCGUGAAGCGAUCCGCCUGGGAAGUACGUCCGCAAGGAUGAAACUUAAAGGAAUUGGCGGG
rnacentral:rRNA from 1 species